GAGGAUGAACGCUGGCGGCGUGCUUUAACACAUGCAAGUCGAACGAAGAUGCCGGAGUGCUUGCUACUUUUGGCAGACUGAGUGGCGGACGGGUGAGUAACGCGUGGGUAACCUGCCUUAUACAGGGGGAUAACAGUUGGAAACGACUGCUAAUACCGCAUAAGCGCACGGUAUCGCAUGAUACAGUGUAGAAAAACUCCGGUGGUAUAAGAUGGACCCGCGUCUGAUUAGCUUGUUGGUGAGGUAACGGCCCACCAAGGCGACGAUCAGUAGCCGGCCUGAGAGGGUGAACGGCCACAUUGGGACUGAGACACGGCCCAAACUCCUACGGGAGGCAGCAGUGGGGAAUAUUGCACAAUGGGGGAAACCCUGAUGCAGCGACGCCGCGUGAGUGAUGAAGUAUUUCGGUAUGUAAAACUCUAUCAGCAGGGAAGAUAAUGACGGUACCUGACUAAGAAGCACCGGCUAAAUACGUG
rnacentral:rRNA from 1 species